AGCGAACGCUGGCGGCAGGCCUAACACAUGCAAGUCGAACGGAUCCUUCGGGAUUAGUGGCGGACGGGUGAGUAACACGUGGGAACGUGCCCUUUGGUUCGGAACAACUCAGGGAAACUUGAGCUAAUACCGGAUGUGCCCUUCGGGGGAAAGAUUUAACGCCAUUGGAGCGGCCCGCGUCUGAUUAGCUAGUUGGUGAAGUAAAGGCUCACCAAGGCUACGAUCAGUAGCGGGUCUGCGAGGAUGAUCAGCCACAUUGGGACUGAGACACGGCCCAAACUCCUACGGGAGGCAUCAGUGGGGAAUCUUGCGCAAUGGGCGAAAGCCUGACGCAGCCAUGCCGCGUGAAUGAUGAAGGUCUUAGGAGUGUAAAAUUCUUUCACCGGGGACGAUAAUGACGGUACCCGGAGAAGAAGCCCCGGCUAACUUCGUGCCAGCAGCCGCAGUAACAC
rnacentral:rRNA from 1 species